rnacentral:lncRNA from 1 species
UAUUAAUAAUUAGUCACAUAUGCAUUAUUUUCUUUUACAGAAACUGAUUAAAUACGUGAAACAUACUUUAAAUUUUUAUUGGGUAACAUUUUAUCAAAACUGAAUUUUCAGAACUGGUAAGGAUAUUUCAUCAUCAGAUUUUAUUUUGAAACACGUCUGAAGGAAUAGCAGGGCACUACAGGGUUUUCAAAAGUAACAACACGGAGCAGACUGAUGUCCUCAUGUUGCUGUUGCUAUGGCGACCUGACAACCAAUAAGCUGCUUGCUAGCUCAUGUGAUUUGUGGGUUGAGACAUCCAAGGGCGCAAGUAGACCAUCUGUGAGUUUUCAUUGUGCUGUUAAUGGUCGUUGUCAAAUUGAUAAUCACGUCGAACAUAGGAAAUUUUCCUUUUAUGUUUUUAAGAGAGAUAAUAAACUAACAGAUAUAGCUAGUAACUAAUAAAAAUAUUUAUAACAGCUAC